rnacentral:tRNA from 1 species
GCGCCCGUGGUGUAGCCUGGUAACACGUUCCCCUGUCACGGGAAAGAUCACCGGUUCAAAUCCGGCCGGGCGCG